CUAUACGGUCGAAUUCAGGGUUAAUGGAUGAAAUUUUUAUUUUCGUUCGUUAACUUGAUAUUUCGAUCGUUAUCAGGACGUCGCGACCCGUUCGGUGUCGGUCAAAGGGCCACGGUGAAGUUUGUUACCCUUGCAUCGGCUCGUUUAUCCUUCGCGGGUUAAGCGAUUUUCGAUGUUUGUGGUGCAAUCCCGUGUGUGCGCUUGUUUUUUAACACGUUCCCUGGCCGACUUGCCGGACGGUAUGUAAAUAAUGUAUACCGUAGCGAUGCUUUUUUUGGUAUCGCCGGUGGUCAGCGAUGAAUAUUCGGUUCUCUUUCCGACCCGUCUUGAAACACGGACCAAGGAGUCUAACAUGUACGCGAGUCAUGGGGUGUCGAUCGGAGUUUAAUUUCGAUCGAUGUUUAACGAAACCAUAAAGGCGUAAUGAAAGUGAAUUGCGGGAGGACUGCGUCCGAGUCACGUUUCUCGGUUUAAUAUCGAGACCGGACGUACGCACUCUCGGGGCAUCCAAAUGAUACGUUUUUUCGAAUCUGGGUGCACCUUUAGCGUACAUGUUGGUACCCGAAAGAUGGUGAACUAUGCCUGGCCAGGAUGAAGUCAGGGGAAACCCUGAUGGAGGUCCGCAGCGAUUCUGACGUGCAAAUCGAUCGUCUGAGCUGGGU
rnacentral:rRNA from 1 species